GAGAGGCCCUGCAAUGCUCAUAUGCGCCCCCACAGCCCUGUUAGGGACAGGAGGAGAACCUCGCCCUAACUUGAGCAAAGUCGAAGGCCCAGUUCCCUUUAGACCGGGAUGGGGGGGAGAGGCCCUGCAACGCCCAUAUGCGCCCCCACAGCCCUGUUAGGGACAGAAAGAGAACCUCGCCCUAACUCGAGCAAAGUCGAAGGCCCGGCUCUCUUUAGGCCGGA
rnacentral:lncRNA from 1 species